CCUACGGGAGGCAGCAGUAGGGAAUAUUGGUCAAUGGGGGAAACCCUGAAGCAGCAACGCCGCGUGGAGGAUGAAGGUUUUAGGAUUGUAAACUCCUUUUGUGAGAGAAGAAAAUGACGGUAUCUGACGAAUAAGCACCGGCUAACUCCGUGCCAGCAGCCGAGGUAAUACGGCGGGUGCAAGCGUUACUCGGAUUCACUGGGCGUAAAGGGUGCGCAGGCGGUCUUGUAAGUCAGAUGUGAAAUCCUGUAGCUUAACUCCAGAACUGCAUUUGAAACUAUGUGUCUGGAGUGUAGGAGAGGUAGGCGGAAUUCGUGGUGUAGCGGUAAAAUGCGUAGAUAUCAAGAGGAAUACUCAUUGCGAAGGCGGCCUACUGGACUAUUACUGACGCUCAUGCACGAAAGCGUGGGGAGCAAACAGGAUUAGAUACCCGGGUAGUC
rnacentral:rRNA from 1 species